UCUUGCAGUUUCCCCUCUAGUGGGUGGACACAGAUGAUAAAGAAGAAACAUGGAUGAAUAGGAAAGAGUGCAGACGGUGGUCUGGUGGACCAGCGGGGGAUAAGGAGGAGGGUGAGCGGGGCACUCACAUCUGGGAGGACAGCGCUGAGGAGGUGCCUUUACAGUUGAGACCUACUCACACGAAGAAGCCUGAAGAUCUGGCAGGAGAGAAGACCCAUCAGAGGGAGCCGCAGUUUCCACAACUCCGAAGUGAGGCAGUAGGGCUAGACAGGUGCAAGAGCAGGGGGCAACUGAAAUGACUUCAAAACACCUGGCAUCCACUGCGUGUUGCCAUGUACACACGUGUGCUCACGCACAUACGGACACAUUGCUCCCGUUGGUCAAGAUCUUCCUCUCGUUAAGUACCACGGACCGUUACUUACAUAGCCGCAUUCAUCACCCUCGGUUCCAAGGCACAGCUCAUGGAACCCAAGAAGAAAUCGUCGUCCAAUUCUUUAUUUUAUGGAUGGGGACCGGAGUCCCGAAUGGAGGAGGAGGUGGAGACACUUUAACCAAGAACCCGGGCUCCUAGCCCCCCAAAUGCAGUGCUCUUUCUAGUGGCCCGAGACCUGCAGGAAGGAAAACUGAGACUUUUAAGACACAUGCAUUACUUUCCAUUCUCAAGCACGAGUUCUCAAAAGGAAGGUGUUAGAGAUCUUGACAAUUUCCAGCUUAUUGCUUUGGCUGGGGCCUGAAAUCUUGGCACACGCAUUGUUGAAAUUCUACAGAAAUCUUUUAACUUCUCUGAGAAGUUAUCAUGAUGGUAACAAUAACAGUCGUCCGCUAAAUAAACAUUUACGGGUGUCCGCUUUGUACCAGCA